UACGAAGGGGGCUAGCGUUGCUCGGAAUCACUGGGCGUAAAGGGUGCGUAGGCGGGUCUUUAAGUCUGGGGUGAAAUCCUGGAGCUCAACCCCAGAACUGCCUUUGAUACUGAGGAUCUUGAGUUCGGGAGAGGUGAGUGGAACUGCGAGUGUAGAGGUGAAAUUCGUAGAUAUUCGCAAGAACACCAGUGGCGAAGGCGGCUCACUGGCCCGAUACUGACGCUGAGGCACGAAAGCGUGGGGAGCAAACAGG
rnacentral:rRNA from 1 species